rnacentral:rRNA from 1 species
AGUGAAAUUGAACUUGCUGUGAAGAUGCAGUGUACCCGCGGCAAGACGGAAAGACCCCGUGAACCUUUACUAUAGCUUGACACUGAACAUUGAGCCUUGAUGUGUAGGAUAGGUGGGAGGCUUUGAAGUGUGGACGCCAGUCUGCAUGGAGCCGACCUUGAAAUACCACCCUUUAAUGUUUGAUGUUCUAACGUUGACCCGUAAUCCGGGUUGCGGACAGUGUCUGGUGGGUAGUUUGACUGGGGCGGUCUCCUCCUAAAGAGUAACGGAGGAGCACGAAGGUUGGCUAAUCCUGGUCGGACAUCAGGAGGUUAGUGCAAUGGCAUAAGCCAGCUUGACUGCGAGCGUGACGGCGCGAGCAGGUGCGAAAGCAGGUCAUAGUGAUCCGGUGGUUCUGAAUGGAAGGGCCAUCGCUCAACGGAUAAAAGGUACUCCGGGGAUAACAGGCUGAUACCGCCCAAGAGUUCAUAUCGACGGCGGUGUUUGGCACCUCGAUGUCGGCUCAUCACAUCCUGGGGCUGAAGUAGGUCCCAAGGGUAUGGCUGUUCGCCAUUUAAAGUGGUACGCGAGCUGGGUUUAGAACGUCGUGAGACAGUUCGGUCCCUAUCUGCCGUGGGCGCUGGAGAACUGAGGGGGGCUGCUCCUAGUACGAGAGGACCGGAGUGGACGCAUCACUGGUGUUCGGGUUGUCAUGCCAAUGGCACUGCCCGGUAGCUAAAUGCGGAAGAGAUAAGUGCUGAAAGCAUCUAAGCACGAAACUUGCC